GGGCCCAUAGCUCAACGGCAGAGCACCUGGCUCAUAACCGGUUGGUUGUAGGUUCGAAUCCUACUGGGCCCA
rnacentral:tRNA from 1 species